rnacentral:rRNA from 1 species
CCUACGGGUGGCAGCAGUGAGGAAUAUUGGUCAAUGGACGCAAGUCUGAACCAGCCAUGCCGCGUGCAGGAUGACGGCUCUAUGAGUUGUAAACUGCUUUUGUACGAGGGUAAACCCCGAUACGUGUAUCGGGUUGAAAGUAUCAUACGAAUAAGGAUCGGCUAACUCCGUGCCAGCAGCCGCGGUAAUACGGAGGAUCCGAGCGUUAUCCGGAUUUAUUGGGUUUAAAGGGUGCGUAGGCGGUUGGUUAAGUUAGAGGUGAAAGGUCGGGGCUCAACCCCGAAAUUGCAUCUAAUACUGUUGGACUAGAGAAUAGCUGAGGUAGGCGGAAUGUAUGGUGUAGCGGUGAAAUGCUUAGAGAUCAUACAGAACACCGAUUGCGAAGGCAGCUUACCAAACUAUAUCUGACGUUGAGGCACGAAAGCGUGGGUAGCAAACAGGAUUAGAUACCCGAGUAGUC